UUCUUUUUUCUCUUUAUUUUCUUUCUUUGAUCUUCUUGCAUGAUAGAGCGCAUAUCUGUUUGCGUGUCUAUCCGCGUGUGUGUGUUCGCGUGUCUGUCCGCGCGCGCGCGCGCGCGCGCGCGCGUGUGUGUGUGUGUGUGUGUGCGCGCGUAUGUAUGAACGAACGUACGCGCAUUUUUCUUCUUCCUCGUAUAAUUACGAAUGUUUCAAUACAUUUGAUUUAAUCUCUCUACAUUUCAUUGAAAUAUCCUGACAUGUUGCAUUAUCAUCAGCAACAGCGUCAGCGUCAGCGUCAGCGUCAGCUUCAGCAUCAGCAGCAACAGCAACAGCAUCAGCAUCAACAUCAAUGUGAGCAACAGGAUCAUCAUCAUUAUUCUCAUUCUCAUUCUCCUCCUAAUCUUCAAUCAUUGCCUCAUUCUCAUUCUCCUUCUAAUCUUCAAUCGCCUCAUUCUCAUUCUCAUCCUAAUUUUCAAUCUUUGCCUCAUUCUUAUCCUCAUCUUCCUCCUCCUCCUCCUCCUCCUCCUCCUCUUCCUGAUCUACCUUCUCGUUCUCUUCCUCCUGCUCUUCCUUUUCGUUCUCUUUCUCCUGCUCCUCUUCCUCCUCCUCCUCCUCUUCCUCUUCUUCGUCCUCAUUUUCAUUCCCAUUCUCGUUACUGUCGUCAUCGCCAACAUCCUCAUCAUUCUCAUCGUCAAGAUAAUAAUAGUAAUAAUAAUAAUAAUAACAAUAAUAAUAGUAAUAAUAUUACUAACAAAAUCAAUAACAAAUAUCGAAUUCAAUCGAAUUAUCAUAUUCAACCAGUAAAUGAUUUGCCAUACGAAAAUCACGAUAUAGUUAUGAGAAAUGAUGAACAUUCAAAUUAUAAGUUUGAUAGAUUGCAAAAAUAUAAAAUGGAUAAUAUUAAUCAGGAACAACAACAACAACGAAAACAAGGACAACAACAACAACAAUCACAACAAGAACAACAGCUACAGAAACGACAUGCACAACAACAAUUGCAACAACAACAACGAAAAAAACAGCAACAACAGAGUAAUUAUAAAGUGAUUAAUCAAAACCUAGCAUCAUCGACGAAACAAUUUCUCGACGAAAGUACGAAGAAAAAAAAAAGAAAGGAAAUUAUUGUAGGAAACUCGAAGGUUCUAAAUAACUCUUCUUUUUGUUUUUCUUCUUCCUUGACGAAAAAAAAAGUUCGUAAAAGGAAUUACGUUACCUGCAAGGAAAUACAAAAUCAAAGAGUAAUGGCGAAUGUCAGAGAACGGCAAAGAACUCAGAGCUUGAAUGAAGCAUUUGGUGCACUUAGAAAGGUCAUUCCUACAUUGCCGAGCGAUAAACUGAGUAAAAUUCAAACAUUGAAACUUGCCACACGUUAUAUAGAUUUUUUAUGUCAAGUGCUACGUUGUAAUAUCAAAAAUAACGAGGAGGAAAAUGAAGAGAAAAAUUCAAGAAAUGCAAUAUUAUCUACAAAAGGAAUAAAGUCAUUAUCAUGCAAUUAUAUGAUACAUGAAAAAUUGUCUUACGCGUUUAGUGUUUGGCGUAUGGAGAGCGAUUGGAACUUAAAUACAUGAGUAAGUUAUGAAUGCAGUAGUGUGCUUGAAUAUAAUGAAGAAUUUAUUGAAAUGGUCAAUCUGUAUAUCGGGUUGUUUGGAAAGUAAUUUUGUUUUUUCCCUUGACAGAUAAUUUAAUUGUACAUUUUUGGACCUAACUUCAUAUUUAAGCCACAUAAUCAUUAUAUGUUUUGAGUCCAAUUGAUUCUACGCUUUUUGGUUAGUACUCUUUUCAAUGUAGAGAAUAAUAAGCAGCUUUUUCGUUAUAUUUUACUUUUUUAUUAUAAAAAAAGAUAAAAAUGCUGUUCAAGCCAGAAAGAAAUUAAUCGACGUGUAUGGAGAAGAUGUUUUAAUAGUACGCCAGUGCCAGAACUGGUUUGCAAAAUUUCGAUUUGGCAAUUUUGAUGUCGAAGUUGCACCACGUUCUGGAAAGCCGGUUGAAGCUAAAGGCAUUAGUUGAUGCAAAUCGGCGAAUAACAAUACAUAAAAUUUGUCUUAAAAUCAAAUUCAAUUGUUUAUGACCACUUGAAAGGCCUGAGUUUAACCUCGAAGCAUGAUAUAUGGAUUCCCCAUGUUCUCACGGAGAGAAAUUUGUGUCGUCGCGUUGACGUCUGUGAUUCGUUUCUCAAACGUCAAGAAAAUGAUCCAUUUUUGAAGUGCAUCAUUACUGGGGAUGAAAAGUGGUAUGGAUAUAGCAAUGUCAAUCGCAAGAGGUCAUAGAGCAAUAAAGAUGAACCGGCUUAUUUCCAAAGUCAAUAUUCAUCAAAAAAAGCUCAUGCUGUCUGUUUGGUGGAAUUUUUAAGGAAUCGUUUUUUUUUUUUUUUUUUAAGAUUUUACCGGAUAACACAACAAUUAAUUCGGAAGUCUAUUGUCAUCGGCUGGACAAACUGAAUGAUGCACUUCGACAGAAAAGGCCAGAAUUAAUCAACAGAAAAGGUGUAUGAUAAUAAUGUUAAUAACAAUUAUAAUAAUCCUUAUAAGAUAAUUAAUUCUAAUGGAAUUAUUUAAAAUCGAAAAUGGAUUAAUGUUGGAACUUUAUUGAUUGAUUGAUGCAAUUGAAUAUGUAAAUACGCCAGGAAUGAAUAUAUAAUACGCUGAUCAAGUAUUAUAGCAGCUGUGAAUUAGUUAUUUCAUAUCUAAAAUAAGAUAUUGAUAUAACUGGAAUAAUUAAAAUUAAUGACAUUAGAAUAAUUAAAAUUAAUGACCAACGCUAUCGCAUGUGAUAUUUUUGUAACUAAGUUCACGAAGAGAAAAGAAAAGAAAAAAAAAAAGCGAAAAAAAAAGAAGAAAGGAGAAAUUGAUAACGAAUGGAGGAUGGGAAUUAAAAUUCGAUAAUUAUAUCUGCCAAUUGUGAUUCCUUCCAUAAUUUUACCAGCUACAAAGAAUAAAUAUAACAUUGGAGUAUAGUGGAUAAAUUGAAUUAAAUUAAAACAAUGAAUACUGAAUUCAUAUGGGAAAAAAAAAAUGUUGAAUUCACAUUCGAAUAAUAAA